rnacentral:rRNA from 1 species
AACGCGAAGAACCUUACCAGCUCUUGACAUUCGGGGUAUGGGCAGUGAGACAUUGUCCUUCAGUUCGGCUGGCCCCAGGACAGGUGCUGCAUGGCUGUCGUCAGCUCGUGUUGUGAGAUGUUGGGUUAAGUCCCGCAACGAGCGCAACCCUCGCCCUUAGUUGCCAGCAUUCAGUUGGGCACUCUAAGGGGACUGCCGGUGAUAAGCCGAGAGGAAGGUGGGGAUGACGUCAAGUCCUCAUGGCCCUUACGGGCUGGGCUACACACGUGCUACAAUGGUGGUGACAGUGGGCAGCGAGACCGCGGGGUCGAGCUAAUCUCCAGAAGCCAUCUCAGUUCGGAUUGCACUUUGCAACUCGAGUGCAUGAAGUUGGAAUCGCUAGUAAUCGCAGAUCAGCAUGCUGCGGUGAAUACGUUCCCGGGCCUUGUACACACCG